rnacentral:rRNA from 1 species
CUACGGGACGCAGCAGUGGGGAAUAUUGCACAAUGGAGGAAACUCUGAUGCAGCAACGCCGCGUGGAGGAUGACACAUUUCGGUGCGUAAACUCCUUUUAUAUGGGAAGAUAAUGACGGUACCAUAUGAAUAAGCACCGGCUAACUCCGUGCCAGCAGCCGCGGUAAUACGGAGGGUGCAAGCGUUACUCGGAAUCACUGGGCGUAAAGCGCGCGCAGGCGGCCUUGUAAGUUGGAUGUGAAAGCCUACGGCUCAACCGUAGAACUGCAUCCAAAACUACUCGGCUAGAGUGUGGGAGGGGAAGAUGGAAUUAGUUGUGUAGGGGUAAAAUCCGUAGAGAUAACUAGGAAUACCAAAAGCGAAGGCAAUCUUCUGGAACACUACUGACGCUGAGGCGCGAAAGCGUGGGGAGCAAACAGGAUUAGAUACCCUAGUAGUC